UACAGAGGUCUCAAGCGUUGUUCGGAUUCAUUGGGCGUAAAGGGUGCGUAGGUGGCGUCGUAAGUCAGGUGUGAAAUCUCGGGGCUCAACCCCGAAACUGCACUUGAUACUGCGAUGCUCGAGUACUGGAGAGGAGAUUGGAAUUUACGGUGUAGCAGUGAAAUGCGUAGAUAUCGUAAGGAAGACCAGUGGCGAAGGCGAAUCUCUGGACAGUUACUGACACUGAGGCACGAAGGCCAGGGGAGCAAACGGG
rnacentral:rRNA from 1 species